GGCUCAGUAGCUCAGUUGGUUAGAGCGCGGGACUCAUAAGCCUGAGGUCGUUGGUUCAAUUCCAACCUGAGCCA
rnacentral:tRNA from 14 species